rnacentral:tRNA from 1 species
GCUGGAGUGGUGGAAUUGGUAGACACGCAAGACUUAAAAUCUUGUGCCCUUUUGGGCGUGCGGGUUCAAGUCCCGCCUCUAGUA